rnacentral:rRNA from 1 species
GCAAUGCCGCGUGAGUGAAGAAGGCCUUCGGGUUGUAAAGCUCUUUUGUCAGGGAAGAAACGGUAUCUCCUAAUACGGGGUGCUAAUGACGGUACCUGAAGAAUAAGCACCGGCUAACUACGUGCCAGCAGCCGCGGUAAUACGUAGGGUGCAAGCGUUAAUCGGAAUUACUGGGCGUAAAGCGUGCGCAGGCGGUUAUAUAAGUCAGAUGUGAAAUCCCCGGGCUCAACCUGGGAACUGCAUUUGAGACUGUAUGGCUAGAGUGUGUCAGAGGGGGGUAGAAUUCCACGUGUAGCAGUGAAAUGCGUAGAUAUGUGGAGGAAUACCGAUGGCGAAGGCAGCCCCCUGGGAUAACACUGACGCUCAUGCACGAAAGCGUGGGGAGCAAACAGGAUUAGAUACCCUGGUAGUCCACGCCCUAAACGAUGUCUACUAGUUGUCGGGACUUAAUUGUCUUGGUAACGCAGCUAAC